UUAUUUAGUAACUGAAGCUACUUUACCAACAAACAUUGGAGCAAUUGGUAAUACAAGUUCAUCUAGUAGUUUCAUGGCUUUGGCAGUUAGUACUGGAUUUAUAUUAAUCAUCAUAAUAAUAGGAAUAGCUUCUUGUGUUGUCAUCGUGCUCAUUGUUGUAAUUUACAGGCAUAAUAAAAACAAACAACCUCACAAUGAAGAGCAGGCACAUGACAAUCCAAUGUUUCACCAUGAUGAAAUUAAAGAUGCUCAAGUAAAAGAGCUAGGCUCAAUCCAAUGAGAGCUAUAAUGAAUCUAGUGUGCUGUAUUUUGUUUUACCCUUAAAUGAACUCAAGUCCCAAUUUUUUGCUUUAUUUUUUCUAAUUUUUAUUAAACUUUUUAUAUUUUUAAACAAGCCGCACAAUUUUUUGUUUAAGUAAAAUUUUAUCAGAAAGCCUUA